GAUGAACGCUGGCGGCGUGCCUAAUACAUGCAAGUCGAGCGAACAGACGAGGAGCUUGCUCCUCUGACGUUAGCGGAGGACGGGUGAGUAACACGUGGAUAACCUACCUAUAAGACUGGGAUAACUUCGGGAAACCGGAGCUAAUACCGGAUAAUAUAUUGAACCGCAUGGUUCAAUAGUGAAAGACGGUUUUGCUGUCACUUAUAGAUGGAUCCGCGCCGCAUUAGCUAGUUGGUAAGGUAACGGCUUACCAAGGCAACGAUGCGUAGCCGACCUGAGAGGGUGAUCUGCCACACUUGAGCUGGUACACGGUCCAGACGCCUACGGGAGGCAGCAGUAGGGAAUCCGCCGCAAUGCGCGAAAGCCUGACGGAGCAACGCCGCGUGAGUGAUGAAGGUCUUCGGAUCGUAAGACGCUGUUAUUAGGGAAGAACAAAGGUUUAAGUAACUAUGCACGUUUUGACGGUACCUAAUCAGAAGACCACGGCUAACUACAUG
rnacentral:rRNA from 1 species